ACAAACCCAACCAAAAAGACAGAAACUAGAGGAUAAUUUGUACAAAAAACGAAAGGCAGUGAGUUUUGUUGUACAUGUUGAGGAAUUUCUGAACACAACUUUGCUAUCUAUUGAAAUAGCCUUGUGGUUCCAUUCUACUAUACUUGAGUUCAGUUCAAUCCAAUACUCAAUAAUUUGUCUUUCACAACAAAUAAGAAAAAACAAGGCAAGAGACAGUUAACAUAUUACAAAACUAAAGGAUGAUUCCAAAAAUUAUAUUUGUCCAUUGAAUUUACAAUGCGGAAAGUUGAACAUGAUCUUAAGCUUCUAAGAGCAUUAUCUGAUACAGACUUCGCCUUGAUAUGGAAUGAUAGCAAGGCUAUUAUUUCCUGGUGCUUUUUGUUCAGAUAUUCAGCUUCCGAAAAAAGGAUUUUGAUGAACGUUUUUAUCAUCGGCCUGGUCAUGUAAGUACAGCCAGCCCAUUUAUACAUUUACACUAAAAUUCUGUACUUUACGCCAAUAACCCAAAUUGAGCACCGAGCAUUCUCUAUCAACACGCUGGUUCCUGUUUCAACUUGAUUCCACUUCUGCAGCCAAACAUCAUGGGCUGGGAAAACAGAGGAAUCUGUCAGAAUUAUGACAUGUUGGAAUAAAUCUUGUUUCAGGAGUAACGUAAAUGAACAGGGUGGAGCCAGGAAUUGAAGCUUAUGGGUGGAGGAUUCGAACCCUUUUAAGUUACUGGUUUUUAAAUUAAUAAUUUUUAUAUUUUAAAUGAAUUUCUUAAGGAGAAUACAGAGCUUGGAUCAAAGUUACAGGGCUCAGCUGAACCCACACCUUGAUCUAGCUCCCCACUGUAGAUGAACGCCUAGCAAAUAUGAGAUGAUCGUACAGAAGUUCUUUUUAGUUAUAUUUAUAAUGGGGUAUCUAAUAAUGUGGUGGAAUUUGCAGAAAAAGCGAUUCAUCAAGCUCUGGAGUUAACCAUAUUUAUAUGGCAUAAGAAUAGAACCUUGCUCCUAAAGAGCGUGCAAGAGUAAGAUUACCUGAGCU
rnacentral:lncRNA from 1 species